GGGGAAUUUUCCGCAAUGGGCGAAAGCCUGACGGAGCGACGCCGCGUGGAGGAUGAAGUAUUUCGGUAUGUAAACUCCUGUCAUCAGGGACGAAAGAAAUGACGGUACCUGAGGAGGAAGCAUCGGCUAACUACGUGCCAGCAGCCGCGGUAAUACGUAGGAUGCAAGCGUUGUUCGGAAUUACUGGGCGUAAAGCGUACGUAGGCGGUGACAUAAGUUUAAUAUUAAAGACCGAAGCUCAACUUCGGGAAUGUAUUGAAUACUGUGUCGCUAGAGGUUAAUAGAGGAAAUCGGAAUUCCCAGUGUAGCGGUGAAAUGCGUAGAUAUUGGGAAGAACACCGGUGGCGAAAGCGGAUUUCUGGGUUAAUACUGACGCUGAGGUACGAAAGUGUGGGGAGCAAAC
rnacentral:rRNA from 1 species